rnacentral:rRNA from 1 species
AUGAACGUUAGAGUUCCACUUUAUACAUGCAAGUCGAACGUGGUUUAUUUUUAGUAAACUAAGUGGCGCGCGAGUGAAUAAUGUGUAUGAAGUAUACCCAAUAAUUCGAGAUACGCCUUUAAAGAGGCAUCAAUAUUGAAUAAAUAUAAGACAAAUUGUCUUAUUAUUAAAGACAAGUCGUUAUUGGAUUAGCAUAUAUCGAAUUAAAUUGAUGGUAAGGGUAAAGGCCUACCAUGUUAAUGAUUCGUAACUGGGUUGAUAGACCGACCAGUCACGUUGGAACUUAAAUAAGGAACAACCUGUUUCGAUGGGCAGCAGUAGGGAAUCUUGGACAAUGGACGAAAGUCUGAUCCAGUGAGAAUUUGUGUAGGAUGAAGGCAGGAAGUCGUAAACUACUUUCGAUAGGAAAGAUAAUGACGGUACCUAUAGCAAGAAGUACUGACUAAUUCUGU